CCUACGGGAGGCAGCAGUAGGGAAUCUUCCACAAUGGGCGAAAGCCUGAUGGAGCAACGCCGCGUGGGUGAAGAAGGUCUUCGGAUCGUAAAACUCUGUUGUUAGAGAAGAAAGUGCGUGAGAGUAACUGUUCACGUUUCGACGGUAUCUAACCAGAAAGCACCGGCUAACUACGUGCCAGCAGCCGCGGUAAUACGUAGGUGGCAAGCGUUAUCCGGAUUUAUUGGGCGUAAAGGGAACGCAGGCGGUCUUUUAAGUCUCAUGUGAAAGCCUUCGGCUUAACCGGAGUAGUGCAUUGGAAACUGGGAGACUUGAGUGCAGAAGAGGAGAGUGGAACUCCAUGUGUAGCGGUGAAAUGCGUAGAUAUAUGGAAGAACACCAGUGGCGAAGGCGGCUCUCUGGUCUGUAACUGACGCUGAGGUUCGAAAGCGUGGGUAGCAAACAGGAUUAGAUACCCUUGUAGUC
rnacentral:rRNA from 1 species